UACGUAGGGUGCGAGCGUUAAUCGGAAUUACUGGGCGUAAAGCGUGCGCAGGCGGUUCGUUGUGUCGGCGGUGAAAGCCCCGGGCUUAACCUGGGAAUGGCCGUUGAAACUGGCGAACUGGAGUGUGGCAGAGGGGGGGGUGGAAUUCCGCGUGUAGCAGUGAAAUGCGUAGAUAUCGUGAGGAACACCAGAGGCGAAGGCGGUUACCUGGACAGUUACUGACGCUCAGGCACGAAAGCGUGGGGAGCAAAAGGG
rnacentral:rRNA from 1 species